GACGAACGCUGGCGGCGUGCUUAACACAUGCAAGUCGAGCGGUAAGGCCCCUUCGGGGGUACACGAGCGGCGAACGGGUGAGUAACACGUGGGUGACCUGCCCUCAGCUCUGGGAUAAGCCUGGGAAACUGGGUCUAAUACCGGAUAUGACUCCAUGACGCAUGUCGUGGGGUGGAAAGCCUUGUGCGGCUGGGGAUGGGCCCGCGGCCUAUCAGCUUGUUGGUGGGGUGANGGCCUGCCAAGGCGACGACGGGUAGCCGGCCUGAGAGGGCGACCGGCCACACUGGGACUGAGACACGGCCCAGACUCCUACGGGAGGCAGCAGUGGGGAAUCUUGCGCAAUGGGCGAAAGCCUGACGCAGCGACGCCGCGUGAGGGAUGACGGCCU
rnacentral:rRNA from 1 species